UGCUUAUAGAAGAAAUGCUGGAUCGGAACCCAACUUAUAUCAAGAUGCUAUGGAUGCCAGCCGCUUAUUGCACCAGGACCAUGAAAUGAGCCGGUUUGAGUUAGCAGAGAAGAUGUUUUCCCAACAACUUCAGCAGCAGCAUCCUCAUAAUUUGAUGUCCCAUCAUAAUAGUAACUUAAAUGAAGCUUUGAUGGAACGUGGAG
rnacentral:misc_RNA from 1 species